CAGUGUUCAUGCAGACAUAUGUUGGGGGAGUGUCAUGCCCAUACAUAUGCUCAAAGAGGUUGGACCAUGGAGUGUUACUGGUGGGGUAUGGUUCAGCAGGCUACGCUCCCAUCCGGAUGAAGGACAAGCCUUACUGGAUCAUAAAAAACUCAUGGGGUGAGAACUGGGGAGAGAAUGGAUUCUACAAAAUCUGCAGGGGUCGCAAUGUGUGUGGUGUGGACUCCAUGGUCUCAACCGUGGCUGCUGUGCAUACCACCUCAAAUUAGGUGAAAGGUAGGGUUUGAACUCUGAACUGUAUUUUAAUUGUUGAAUCAGACGGUGAUUAUUGUAUAUAAGCUCAAGGAGCGUGGGCAUAAUU
rnacentral:lncRNA from 1 species